GAUGAAGAACGUAGCGAAAUGCGAUACUUGGUGUGAAUUGCAGAAUCCCGUGAACCAUCGAGUCUUUGAACGCAAGUUGUGCCCGAAGCCACUAGGCCGAGGGCACGCCUGCCUGGGUGUCACACGUCGUUGCCCCCCCCCCAUCUACUCCUUCGGGAUUGCGGGGGGCGGAUGAUGGCCUCCCGUGCGCCUAGCCGCGCGGUUGGCAUAAAUACCAAGUCCUCGGCGACGCACGCCACGACAAUCGGUGGUUGCGAAACCUCGGUUGCCCGUCGUGUGCGUUCGUCGCGCAUCGAGGGCUCAAAAAAAUGCUCGGCUCCGGCUGGGCUUUCAACGCGACCCCAGGUCAGGCGGGGUUACCCGCUGAAUUUAAGCAUAUCAAUAAGCGGAGGA
rnacentral:misc_RNA from 1 species